AUUGGAAGCUCAUCUUUCAGUGAAUUAGGAAUGGCGAAUAGGUUUUGAAUAGAUUUGGAACAGGUUAUAUUUGAUUCUGAAUAGGUUUUGAACAGAUUCGGAACAGAUUAUAUUUGGUUUUGAACAGGUUUUGAACAGGUUCUGAAGAGGUUAAUUUCAGAUUUUGAACAGAUUCUGAAUAGGUUUUGAACAGGUUCUGAAGAGGUUAAUUUCAGAUUUUGAACAGAUUCUGAACAGGUUUUGAACAGGUUCUAAAGAGGUUAAUUUCAGAUUUUGAACAGAUUCUGAACAGGUUAAUUUCAGAUUUUGAAUUUCAGAUUGUGAACAGGUUAAUCUAAUUUUCAGAUUCAGAUUCUGAAGAGGUUAAUCUGAAUUUCAGAUUCAGUCAAUUUGUGUAGAAUGACAGGUUCAGAAGCAGAAUCACAGGUUGAUUGUUUGAAGCAGAAUGACAGGUUCAGCAGAAUGAAGUUCAGAAUGAUGCAGUCCAGAAUUUAAGAAUGAUGCAGUCCAAAAUUACAUGAAGUUCAGAAUGACGCAGUCCAGAAUUUCAUAAUGAUGCAUUCCAGAAUGAAGCAGCAUGGCUAUGCACUAUUGAAGCAGCAUUGAGCAGUCCAAAAUGAAGCAUUUGGCAAUAAUAUGUAAUCUGUUACUGGAUAUAUGUAAUCUUUUGCUGGAUAAUAUGUAAUUUUUUGGAGUUGUUAUAGAUUAUGAUUGUCUAAGUAGCAUGGUAAGAGAUUACAUAUUAUUAAUAACAUUUGGCUGUAAGUAGCAUAGAUUAUGAAUGUCUAAGUAGCAUGGUAAGAGUUAAAUUGAGGUCAAUAUGAUGAUUGUUGAACAGAGGUUAUAGAAAUAAAUUUAAUGGAAUUGAGUUUUGCA